rnacentral:rRNA from 1 species
AGACCCGAAACCCGGUGAUCUAGCCAUGGGCAGGUUGAAGGUUGGGUAACACUAACUGGAGGACCGAACCGACUAAUGUUGAAAAAUUAGCGGAUGACCUGUGGCUGGGGGUGAAAGGCCAAUCAAACCGGGAGAUAGCUGGUUCUCCCCGAAAGCUAUUUAGGUAGCGCCUCGUGAAUUCAUCUCCGGGGGUAGAGCACUGUUUCGGCUAGGGGGCCAUCCCGGCUUACCAACCCGAUGCAAACUGCGAAUACCGGAGAAUGUUAUCACGGGAGACACACGGCGGGUGCUAACGUCCGUCGUGAAGAGGGAAACAACCCAGACCGCCAGCUAAGGUCCCAAAGUCAUGGUUAAGUGGGAAACGAUGUGGGAAGGCCCAGACAGCCAGGAUGUUGGCUUAGAAGCAGCCAUCAUUUAAAGAAAGCGUAAUAGCUCACUGGUCGAGUCGGCCUGCGCGGAAGAUGUAACGGGGCUAAACCAUGCACCGAAGCUGCGGCAGCGACGCUGAUGCGUUGUUGGGUAGGGGAGCGUUCUGUAAGCCUGCGAAGGUGGCCUGUGAGGGUUGCUGGAGGUAUCAGAAGUGCGAAUGCUGACAUAAGUAACGAUAAAGCGGGUGAAAAGCCCGCUCGCCGGAAGACCAAGGGUUCCUGUCCAACGUUAAUCGGGGCAGGGUGAGUCGACCCCUAAGGCGAGGCCGAAAGGCGUAGUCGAUGGGAAACGGGUUAAUAUUCCCGUACUUGGUGUUACUGCGAAGGGGGGACGGAGAAGGCUAUGUUGGCCGGGCGACGGUUGUCCCGGUUUAAGCGUGUAGGUGUGUGUUCCAGGUAAAUCCGGUUCACUUUAACACUGAGGCGUGAUGACGAGGCACUACGGUGCUGAAGCAACAAAUGCCCUGCUUCCAGGAAAAGCCUCUAAGCAUCAGGUAACAUCAAAUCGUACCCCAAACCGACACAGGUGGUCAGGUAGAGAAUACCAAGGCGCUUGAGAGAACUCGGGUGAAGGAACUAGGCAAAAUGGUGCCGUAACUUCGGGAGAAGGCACGCUGACACGUAGGUGAAGUGAUUUACUCAUGGAGCUGAAGUCAGUCGAAGAUACCAGCUGGCUGCAACUGUUUAUUAAAAACACAGCACUGUGCAAACACGAAAGUGGACGUAUACGGUGUGACGCCUGCCCGGUGCCGGAAGGUUAAUUGAUGGGGUCAGCGCAAGCGAAGCUCCUGAUCGAAGCCCCGGUAAACGGCGGCCGUAACUAUAACGGUCCUAAGGUAGCGAAAUUCCUUGUCGGGUAAGUUCCGACCUGCACGAAUGGCGUAAUGAUGGCCAGGCUGUCUCCACCCGAGACUCAGUGAAAUUGAACUCGCUGUGAAGAUGCAGUGUACCCGCGGCAAGACGGAAAGACCCCGUGAACCUUUACUAUAGCUUGACACUGAACAUUGAGCCUUGAUGUGUAGGAUAGGUGGGAGGCUUUGAAGUGUGGACGCCAGUCUGCAUGGAGCCGGCCUUGAAAUACCACCCUUUAAUGUUUGAUGUUCUAACGUGGACCCGUGAUCCGGGUUGCGGACAGUGUCUGGUGGGUAGUUUGACUGGGGCGGUCUCCUCCUAAAGAGUAACGGAGGAGCACGAAGGUUGGCUAAUCCUGGUCGGACAUCAGGAGGUUAGUGCAAUGGCAUAAGCCAGCUUGACUGCGAGCGUGACGGCGCGAGCAGGUGCGAAAGCAGGUCAUAGUGAUCCGGUGGUUCUGAAUGGAAGGGCCAUCGCUCAACGGAUAAAAGGUACUCCGGGGAUAACAGGCUGAUACCGCCCAAGAGUUCAUAUCGACGGCGGUGUUUGGCACCUCGAUGUCGGCUCAUCACAUCCUGGGGCUGAAGUAGGUCCCAAGGGUAUGGCUG